rnacentral:rRNA from 1 species
AGAGUUUGAUUAUGGCUCAGGAUGAACGCUAGCUACAGGCUUAACACAUGCAAGGUCGAGGGGAACGAUAUGAAAGCUUGCUUCUUAGGCGUCGACCGGCGAAUGGGUGAGUAACGCGUAUCCAACCUGCCCCUGAGUAAGGGAUAGCCCAUCGAAAGAUGGAUUAAUACCUUAUGGUUUCCUUUGAAGGCAUCGGAUUAGGAAUAAAGAUUUAUCGCUGGGGGAUGGGGGAUGCGUCUGAUUAGCUUGUUGGCGGGGUAACGGCCCACCAAGGCAACGAUCAGUAGGGGUUCUGAGAGGAAGGUCCCCCACAUUGGUACUGAGACACGGACCAAACUCCUACGGGAGGCAGCAGUGAGGAAUAUUGGUCAAUGGGCGCAAGCCUGAACCAGCCAAGUAGCGUUGCAGGAUGACUGCCCUAUGGGUUGUAAACUGCUUUUAUACGGGGAUAAAGUCAGGGUCGUGACCCUGUUUGCAGGUACCGUAUGAAUAAGGACCGGCUAAUUCCGUGCCAGCAGCGGC